rnacentral:rRNA from 1 species
AACGAACGCUGGCGGCAUGCCUAAUACAUGCAAGUCGAACGAACACUUCGGUGUUAGUGGCGCACGGGUGCGUAACGCGUGGGAAUCUACCCUUGGGUUCGGAAUAACAGUUGGAAACGACUGCUAAUACCGGAUGAUGACGUAAGUCCAAAGAUUUAUCGCCCAGGGAUGAGCCCGCGUAGGAUUAGCUAGUUGGUGAGGUAAAGGCUCACCAAGGCUACGAUCCUUAGCUGGUCUGAGAGGAUGAUCAGCCACACUGGGACUGAGACACGGCCCAGACUCCUACGGGAGGCAGCAGUAGGGAAUAUUGGACAAUGGGCGAAAGCCUGAUCCAGCAAUGCCGCGUGAGCGAUGAAGGCCUUAGGGUUGUAAAGCCUUUUACCCGGGAUGAUAAUGACAGUACCGGGAGAAUAAAGCCCCGGCUAAACUCCGUG